UUUACAAUGGAGAGUUUGAUCCUGGCUCAGGAUGAACGCUAGCUACAGGCUUAACACAUGCAAGUCGAGGGGAAACGACAUCGAAAGUUUGCUUUUGAUGGGCGUCGACCGGCGCACGGGUGAGUAACGCGUAUCCAACCUGCCCA
rnacentral:rRNA from 1 species